UGUGAAGCCGAUGGUGCUGGGUUCGAAUCCCGGUAAGGGCAUUUAUUUGUGUGAUGAACACAAAUAUUAGUUCCUGAAUUAUGGGUGUUUUAUAUGUAUGUAAGUAUGUAUAUCUAUUUGUAUAUUAUAUAUAUCGUUGUCUGAGUACUCACAACACAAGCUUUCUUGAGCUUACCGUGGGGCUUAGUCAAUUUGUGUAAUAAUGUCCUAUAAUAUUUAUUAUUUAUUUAUUUAUUUAUUGAGAAAUUUAAAAA